GUGACUGCGUACCUUUUGUAUAAUGGGUCAGCGACUUAUAUUCAGUGGCGAGCUUAACCGAAUAGGGGAGGCGUAGCGAAAGCGAGUGUUAAUAGCGCGUUUAGUCGCUGGGUAUAGACCCGAAACCGGGCGAUCUAUCCAUGGGCAGGUUGAAGGUUGGGUAACACUAACUGGAGGACCGAACCGACUACCGUUGAAAAGUUAGCGGAUGACCUGUGGAUCGGAGUGAAAGGCUAAUCAAGCUCGGAGAUAGCUGGUUCUCCUCGAAAGCUAUUUAGGUAGCGCCUCAUGUAUCACUGUAGGGGGUAGAGCACUGUUUCGGCUAGGGGGUCAUCCCGACUUACCAAACCGAUGCAAACUCCGAAUACCUACAAGUGCCGAGCAUGGGAGACACACGGCGGGUGCUAACGUCCGUCGUGAAAAGGGAAACAACCCAGACCGUCAGCUAAGGUCCCAAAAUCCUGGUUAAGUGGGAAACGAUGUGGGAAGGCUUAGACAGCUAGGAGGUUGGCUUAGAAGCAGCCACCCUUUAAAGAAAGCGUAAUAGCUCACUAGUCGAGUCGGCCUGCGCGGAAGAUGUAACGGGGCUCAAACCAGGUACCGAAGCUACGGGUAUCACCUUAGGGUGAUGCGGUAGAGGAGCGUUCUGUAAGCCUGUGAAGGUGAGUUGAGAAGCUUGCUGGAGGUAUCAGAAGUGCGAAUGCUGACAUGAGUAACGACAAUGGGUGUGAAAAACACCCACGCCGAAAGACCAAGGUUUCCUGCGCAACGUUAAUCGACGCAGGGUUAGUCGGUCCCUAAGGCGAGGCUGAAAAGCGUAGUCGAUGGAAAACAGGUUAAUAUUCCUGUACUUCUGGUUAUUGCGAUGGAGGGACGGAGAAGGCUAGGCCAGCUUGGCGUUGGUUGUCCAAGUUUAAGGUGGUAGGCUGAGAUCUUAGGUAAAUCCGGGAUCUCAAGGCCGAGAGCUGAUGACGAGUUGUCUUU
rnacentral:rRNA from 1 species